GGGCUUGACAUCCCACGAACCUGGUGGAAACACCGGGGUGCCUUCGGGAGCCGCGAGACAGGUGCUGCAUGGCUGUCGUCAGCUCGUGUCGUGAGAUGUUGGGUUAAGUCCCGCAACGAGCGCAACCCUCACCCCUAGUUGCCACCGGGUUAAGCCGAGCACUCAAGGGGAACUGCCAGCGUCAAGCUGGAGGAAGGCGGGGAUGACGUCAAGUCAUCAUGCCCCUUACGCCCUGGGCUACACACGUGCUACAAUGGCCAGUACAAAGGGACGCGAGACUGCGAAGUGGGGCUAAUCCCAAAAAGCUGGUCUAAGUUCAGAUUGCAGUCCGCAACUCGACUGCAUGAAGGAGGAAUCGCUAGUAAUCGCGUAUCAGCCCGGCGCGGUGAAUACGUUCCCGGGCCUUGUACACACCGCCCGUCACACCACGAAAGCUGUCUGUACUCGAAGUCGCUGAG
rnacentral:rRNA from 1 species